UACCAGCUCUUCGAGUGGUGUGGAUGUUUAUUGGGCCUAAAGCAUCCGUAGCUGGCUGGGCAAGUCCCCUGUUAAAUCCACCGAUUUAAUCGUUGGAGUGCGGGGGAUACUGUUCGGCUAGGGGACGGGAGAGGCAGACGGUAUUUUCGGGGUAGGGGUGAAAUCCUAUAAUCCCGGGAAGACCACCAGUGGCGAAGGCUGUCUGCUAGAACGCGCCCGACGGCGAGGGAUGAAAGCUGGGGGAGCGAACCGGAUUAGAUACCCGGGUAGUCCCAGCUGUAAACGAUGCAGGCUAGGUGUUUGGGCGGCCACGUGCCGCUCUAGUGCCGCAGGGAAGCCGUUAAGCCUGCCGCCUGGGGAGUACGGCCGCAAGGCUGAAACUUAAAGGAAUUGGCGGGGAGCACCACAAGGGGUGAAGCUUGCGGUUU
rnacentral:rRNA from 1 species